rnacentral:rRNA from 1 species
GGUUAAGCGACUAAGCGUACACGGUGGAUGCCCUGGCAGUCAGAGGCGAUGAAGGACGUGCUAAUCUGCGAAAAGCGUCGGUAAGGUGAUAUGAACCGUUAUAACCGGCGAUGUCCGAAUGGGGAAACCCAGUGUGAUUCGUCACACUAUCGUUAACUGAAUACAUAGGUUAACGAGGCGAACCGGGGAACUGAAACAUCUAAGUACCCCGAGGAAAAGAAAUCAACCGAGAUUCCCCAGUAGCGGCGAGCGAACGGGGAGCAGCCCAGAGUCUGAAUCAGCUUGUGUGUUAGUGGAACGGUCUGGAAAGUCCGACGGUACAGGGUGAUAGUCCCGUACACCAAAAUGCACAGGUUGUGAACUCGAAGAGUAGGGCGGGACACGUGGUAUCCUGUCUGAAUAUGGGGACCAUCCUCCAAGGCUAAAUACUCCUGACUGACCGAUAGUGAACCAGUACCGUGAGGGAAAGGCGAAAAGAACCCCGGCGAGGGAGUGAAAAAGAACCUGAAACCGUGUACGUACAAGCAGUGGGAGCACCUUCGGGUGUGACUGCGUACCUUUGUAUAAUGGGUCAGCGACUUAUAUUCUGUAGCAAGGUUAACCGUAUAGGGAGCCGCAGGGAAACCGAGUCUUAACUGGGCGUUAAGUUGCAGGGUAUAGACCCGAAACCCGGUGAUCUAGCCAUGGGCAGGUUGAAGGUUGGGUAACACUAACUGGAGGACCGAACCGACUAAUGUUGAAAAAUUAGCGGAUGACUUGUGGCUGGGGUGAAAGGCCAAUCAAACCGGGAGAUAGCUGGUUCUCCCGAAAGCUAUUUAGGUAGCGCCUCGUGAAUUCAUCUUCGGGGUAGAGCACUGUUUCGGCUAGGGGUCAUCCCGACUUACCAACCCGAUGCAAACUACGAAUACCGAAGAAUGUUAUCACGGGAGACACACGGCGGGUGCUAACGUCCGUCGUGAAGAGGGAAACAACCCAGACCGCCAGCUAAGGUCCCAAAGUCAUGGUUAAGUGGGAAACGAUGUGGGAAGGCACAGACAGCCAGGAUGUUGGCUUAGAAGCAGCCAUCAUUUAAAGAAAGCGUAAUAGCUCACUGGUCGAGUCGGCCUGCGCGGAAGAUGUAACGGGGCUAAACCAUGCACCGAAGCUGCGGCAGCGACACUAUGUGUUGUUGGGUAGGGAGCGUUCUGUAAGCCUGCGAAGGUGACCUGUGAGGGUUGCUGGAGGUAUCAGAAGUGCGAAUGCUGACAUAAGUAACGAUAAAGCGGGUGAAAAGCCCGCUCGCCGGAAGACCAAGGGUUCCUGUCCAACGUUAAUCGGGGCAGGGUGAGUCGACCCCUAAGGCGAGGCCGAAAGGCGUAGUCGAUGGGAAACAGGUUAAUAUUCCUGUACUUGGUGUUACUGCGAAGGGGGACGGAGAAGGCUAUGUUAGCCGGGCGACGGUUGUCCCGGUUUAAGCAUGUAGGCUGGUUAUCCAGGCAAAUCCGGAUAAUCAAGGCUGAGGUGUGAUGACGAGGCACUACGGUGCUGAAGUAACAAAUGCCCUGCUUCCAGGAAAGCCUCUAAGCAUCAGGUAACAUCAAAUCGUACCCCAAACCGACACAGGUGGUCAGGUAGAGAAUACCAAGGCGCUUGAGAGAACUCGGGUGAAGGAACUAGGCAAAAUGGUGCCGUAACUUCGGGAGAAGGCACGCUGGUGUGUAGGUGAAGUCCCUGCGGAUGGAGCUGAGACCAGUCGAAGAUACCAGCUGGCUGCAACUGUUUAUUAAAAACACAGCACUGUGCAAACACGAAAGUGGACGUAUACGGUGUGACGCCUGCCCGGUGCCGGAAGGUUAAUUGAUGGGGUUAUCCGUAAGGAGAAGCUCUUGAUCGAAGCCCCGGUAAACGGCGGCCGUAACUAUAACGGUCCUAAGGUAGCGAAAUUCCUUGUCGGGUAAGUUCCGACCUGCACGAAUGGCGUAAUGAUGGCCAGGCUGUCUCCACCCGAGACUCAGUGAAAUUGAACUCGCUGUGAAGAUGCAGUGUACCCGCGGCAAGACGGAAAGACCCCGUGAACCUUUACUAUAGCUUGACACUGAACAUUGAGCCUUGAUGUGUAGGAUAGGUGGGAGGCUUUGAAGCGUGGACGCCAGUCUGCGUGGAGCCAACCUUGAAAUACCACCCUUUAAUGUUUGAUGUUCUAACGUUGGCCCCUGACCGGGGUUGCGGACAGUGUCUGGUGGGUAGUUUGACUGGGGCGGUCUCCUCCCAAAGCGUAACGGAGGAGCACGAAGGUUAGCUAAUCCUGGUCGGACAUCAGGAGGUUAGUGCAAUGGCAUAAGCUAGCUUGACUGCGAGCGUGACGGCGCGAGCAGGUGCGAAAGCAGGUCAUAGUGAUCCGGUGGUUCUGAAUGGAAGGGCCAUCGCUCAACGGAUAAAAGGUACUCCGGGGAUAACAGGCUGAUACCGCCCAAGAGUUCAUAUCGACGGCGGUGUUUGGCACCUCGAUGUCGGCUCAUCACAUCCUGGGGCUGAAGUAGGUCCCAAGGGUAUGGCUGUUCGCCAUUUAAAGUGGUACGCGAGCUGGGUUUAGAACGUCGUGAGACAGUUCGGUCCCUAUCUGCCGUGGGCGCUGGAGAAUUGAGGGGCUGCUCCUAGUACGAGAGGACCGGAGUGGACGCAUCACUGGUGUUCGGGUUGUCAUGCCAAUGGCACUGCCCGGUAGCUAAAUGCGGAAGAGAUAAGUGCUGAAAGCAUCUAAGCACGAAACUUGCCCCGAGAUGAGUUCUCCCUGAGACUUUAAGUCUCCUGAAGGAACGUUGAAGACGACGACGUUGAUAGGCCGGGUGUGUAAGCGCAGCGAUGCGUUGAGCUAACCGGUACUAAUGAACCGUGAGGCUUAACCUU